UUGAGGGGCAGGGUGCUGUGAAAGGCGAAUAACGGCCCCCCAGUGACGUCUACAUCCUAAUCCCCUGUGAAUGUUACGUUAUAUGACAAAAGAAUGCAGCCAUGAUUAAGUUCAGGAUCGUGCUUUGGGGAGAUUAUCCUGGAUUGCCCUGGCAGGCUCUUUAUGUAAUCACACAGAUCCUUAUAAUCGAGAAGGACACAGGAAGCGUGAGUCAGAGGGGCUGUGACAACAAAGGAAGCAAAGCCCUUUGAAGACGGGAGAAGGAGCUGAAAGUCAAGCAGCACUUCAGAGUCAGAAUGAUUGAGUGUGAGAGAGUCCAUGGGCCAUCGUGAGUGUUGAAGACGGAAGGGGGCCUUGAGCUAAGGAAUGCAAGAAACUUCUAGAAGCUGGAGGAGGGCCAAGCUCAGUGGCUCACGCCUGCAGUCCCAGCACUUUGGGAGGCCAAGGUGGGAGGAUCGCUUGAGGCCAGGAGUUGGAGACCAGCCUGGGCAACAUAGCAAGACCCCGUCUCUACAAAAAAAAAAAAAAAAAAAAACAGAACCGAGGGUGGUGGCUCAUGCCUGGAAUCCCAGCACUUUGGGAGGCCGAGACAGGGGGAUCACCUGAGGUCAGGAGUUCAAGAAUCAGCCUGGCCAAGAUGGGGAAACCCCGUCUCUACCAAACAUAGAAAAAUUAGCCAGGCGUGGUGGCGGGUGCCUGUAAUGCCAGCUACUGGAGAGGCAGAGGCAGGAGAAUCGCUUGAACCCAGGAGGCGGAGGUUGCAGUGAGCCAAGGUUGCACCAUUGCACUCCAGCCUGGGUGACAGAGCGAGACUCUGUCUUAAAAAAAAAAAAAAAAUCAGAAUUGAGGAAAGGCAAGAAAAUGGAUUUUCUUCCUACAACCUCCAGAAAGCAACACAGUCCCGCUGAAACCUUGGCUUUAGUGCAGUGAGACCCAUUUUGGAUUCUUGACCUCCAGAACUAUAAGAUAACAAACUUGUGUUGUUUUAAGCCACUAAAUUUGUGGCAAUUUUUUACAGGAAAUGGGAAACUAAUCUAGAGGAUGAGGAAGAAAUCACAGAAGGAGAAGUUGCGUCUCAUGCUGACUCAGUAUGCAAAUACUCUCUGGGAGACUUCUCCAUCCUCAGACCGCUCCAGACACCAAAUGCCUGGGCCUUUGACCGCCUUGCUAAGAGGGUCAACCAAGCCAGCCAGGGGAUUGGAGAGAAGAGUGUGCCAAUAAUUGGUUUGUUCAUCAAUUCAAUGAAGAUUUAUUGAGCAUCUGUUGUGGACAGCCCUAUUCUAGGUUCUGGGGAGACAGCCAUGAAUGAGACAGUGAUGGCUGCUUUUGGAGAGCUGACCUUCUAGUGGGAGACAGGCCACAGAAAAACAAAGCACAUGGAACAUAAUGUCAGGGAUGACGAUGCUGUGAAGGAAUGGAGCAGGUGCUAAGAACCUACUGGAACGGGCAUGCUUAAGAGGUGCUGGAGAGGGUCAACUCUUGGGUGACUGCUUCGAGCAAUGGGAGGGUGGGGAGCAGGGGUGUUGUACACACUGCGACAGGGCCAGGUUUGCAAAAGAAAUCAAGACAUGGCCACACAAACACUUCUGUGUGACUGUUCACAGCAGCAUUAUUCACAAUAGCCAAAAGGUAGAAAUAACCCAAAUGCCCAUGAACAGACGAAUGAGUUCUUUUGUUUAUUUGUUUUGUUUUGUUUUUGUUUUUGAGACAGUCUUACUCUGCUGCCCAGACUGGAGUGCAAUGGCGCAAUCUUGGCUCACUGCAACCUCCACCUCCUGGGUUCAAGCCAUUCUCCUUCCUCAGCCUCCGGAGUAGCUGGGACUACAGGCGCCCACCACCACGCUUGGCUAAGUUUUUGUAUUUUUAGUAGAGAUGGGGUUUCACUGUAUUAGCCAGGAUGGUCUCGAUCGCCUGACCUCGUGAUCCGCCCAACUCGGCCUCCCAAAGUGCUGGGAUUACAAGCGUGAGCCACCGCGCCCGGCACGGUAUUUUUACUGUAUCUUUUCUAUGUUUAGGUACACGAAUAUUUAUCAUUGUGCUACAAUUGCCUACAGUUUUCAAUGUAGCCACAGGCUAUGCAAGUUUGUCACCUAGGAGCAAUAGCCUGUACCUAUACCCUAGAUGUGUAGCGGGCUCUACCAUCUAGGUUUGUGUAAACACAUUCUGUGAUGUUCACACAACAAUGAAAUCGCCUAAAGACUCAUUUCUCAGAACAUAUCCUCAUCAUGAAGUGACGCAUGGCUGUAUUAUCCAGUGGAACAUUAUUCAGCCAUGAAAAGAAAUGAAGCCCUGACACAUACUGCAGCAAGGAUGACCCUGAAAACGCUGUGCUAAGUGAAAGAAGCCAGACGCAAAGGACUCCAUAUGGCUGGCAUGAUCUCGGCUCACUGCAACCUCCGCCUCCCGGGUUCAAGCGAUUCUCCUGCCUCAGCCUCCCGAGUAGCUGACAUCACAGGUGUAUGCCACCACACCUGGCUAAUUUUUGUAUUUUUAGUAGAGACAGGGUUUCACCAUGUUGGCCAGGCUGGUCUCGAACUCCUGAGCUCAGGCAAUCCGCCCACCUCAGCCUCCCAAAAUGCUGGGAUUACAGGCAUGAGCCACGGCAUCUAGCCAUGUUCUCAAAUUGAUUGUAACGAUGGCUGCACAACUCUGUGAAUUUACUAAAAGCUAUUGAAUUGUA